rnacentral:rRNA from 1 species
CACUAUCGUUAACUGAAUACAUAGGUUAACGAGGCGAACCGGGGGAACUGAAACAUCUAAGUACCCCGAGGAAAAGAAAUCAACCGAGAUUCCCCCAGUAGCGGCGAGCGAACGGGGAGCAGCCCAGAGUCUGAAUCAGCUUGUGUGUUAGUGGAACGGUCUGGAAAGUCCGACGGUACAGGGUGAUAGUCCCGUACACCAAAAUGCACAGGUUGUGAACUCGAAGAGUAGGGCGGGACACGUGGUAUCCUGUCUGAAUAUGGGGGGACCAUCCUCCAAGGCUAAAUACUCCUGACUGACCGAUAGUGAACCAGUACCGUGAGGGAAAGGCGAAAAGAACCCCGGCGAGGGGAGUGAAAAAGAACCUGAAACCGUGUACGUACAAGCAGUGGGAGCACCUUCGGGUGUGACUGCGUACCUUUUGUAUAAUGGGUCAGCGACUUAUAUUCUGUAGCAAGGUUAACCGUAUAGGGGAGCCGCAGGGAAACCGAGUCUUAACUGGGCGUUAAGUUGCAGGGUAUAGACCCGAAACCCGGUGAUCUAGCCAUGGGCAGGUUGAAGGUUGGGUAACACUAACUGGAGGACCGAACCGACUAAUGUUGAAAAAUUAGCGGAUGACUUGUGGCUGGGGGUGAAAGGCCAAUCAAACCGGGAGAUAGCUGGUUCUCCCCGAAAGCUAUUUAGGUAGCGCCUCGUGAAUUCAUCUUCGGGGGUAGAGCACUGUUUCGGCUAGGGGGUCAUCCCGACUUACCAACCCGAUGCAAACUACGAAUACCGAAGAAUGUUAUCACGGGAGACACACGGCGGGUGCUAACGUCCGUCGUGAAGAGGGAAACAACCCAGACCGCCAGCUAAGGUCCCAAAGUCAUGGUUAAGUGGGAAACGAUGUGGGAAGGCACAGACAGCCAGGAUGUUGGCUUAGAAGCAGCCAUCAUUUAAAGAAAGCGUAAUAGCUCACUGGUCGAGUCGGCCUGCGCGGAAGAUGUAACGGGGCUAAACCAUGCACCGAAGCUGCGGCAGCGACACUAUGUGUUGUUGGGUAGGGGAGCGUUCUGUAAGCCUGCGAAGGUGUGCUGUGAGGCAUGCUGGAGGUAUCAGAAGUGCGAAUGCUGACAUAAGUAACGAUAAAGCGGGUGAAAAGCCCGCUCGCCGGAAGACCAAGGGUUCCUGUCCAACGUUAAUCGGGGCAGGGUGAGUCGACCCCUAAGGCGAGGCCGAAAGGCGUAGUCGAUGGGAAACAGGUUAAUAUUCCUGUACUUGGUGUUACUGCGAAGGGGGGACGGAGAAGGCUAUGUUAGCCGGGCGACGGUUGUCCCGGUUUAAGCAUGUAGGCUGGUUGUCCAGGCAAAUCCGGAUAAUCAAGGCUGAGGUGUGAUGACGAGGCACUACGGUGCUGAAGUAACAAAUGCCCUGCUUCCAGGAAA